AUUGAACGCUGGCGGCAGGCUUAACACAUGCAAGUCGAACGAGCGGCGGACGGGUGAGUAAUGUCUGGGAAACUGCCUGAUGGAGGGGGAUAACUCCUGGAAACGGUAGCUAAUACCGCAUACCAUCAGAUGUGCCCAGAUGGGAUUAGCUUGUUGGUGGGGUAACGGCUCACCUAGGCGACGAUCCCUAGCUUGUCUGAGAGGAUGACCAGUCACACUGGAACUGAGACACGGUCAAGACGCCUACGGGAGGAAGCAGUGGGGAAUAUUGCACAAUGGGCGCAAGCCUGAUGCAGCCAUGCCGAGUGUGUGAAGAAGGCCUUCGGGUUGUAAAGCACUUUCAGCGGGGAGGCGUUACUCGCAGAAGAAGCACCGGCUAACUCCGUGCCAGCAGCCGCGGUAAUUC
rnacentral:rRNA from 1 species